AUGAAUCGGACGCCAGGUGACCCUGGGAUCUUCUAUGAGUGAAGGCAGGAAAAGGGUUAAUGUUUAUACCGCGCUGUUUGUAUAAUGUAGAGAAACCUAUUAGGAGCCGUGCCGGGUCAUUAGACCGGACGGAGAUUCAUUACGUGGAACCAAACCGGCUGAUGUGAGAGGACCAAAAUCAUGAGCUAUCCCGAAAGCGUACCUGGAAUCUGUAUAGAUAUUGAUCCUUUGACCUCUUGGGUCUCGCAAGCUCUUUCCAUUGCCCACAGCUCGGCUUCUUGUGCAGACAAUGUGGAACUCAAUGAACCUUUUUGACAAUUUCUUUUUUUCACAAGAAAACCUUUUUGACAAUUUUACGGACUGUGGUCACUGCAUAACCUGUGUGUGGCUUACCAUCUGGGGUGUAAUACCUGGAACCAUCGACAAAAAGGUUCUUGGCAUUUGGGAUAGGGGCCUCCUUCACUGAACUAAUGGUUGCUGACUCAAGUUCCAUCAAAUAAACACAGUUGUGGUGAUCAUCAA